AGGGAGGGACAUGGAGAACGAAAUCCCAAGUCUGAGUUUGUUGAAAUUUGUGUUGCAGAUGGUGUCGGUGGAAAUUCAAGCCAGAAGUUUAUCCCAAACGUUUUGAAGCCAGGCUGAUAAUUCACAGGGAUGCAGAUGUUGGAUGAGUGAUUGCACAGGAGCCAAAGAAUCAGACAGACUGUCUGUGGAGCUGUGAUGACAAACGGUGUGUGCAGACCUGGAGGUGAGGCAGCACUUACUGGGACUGGUGUGAGCUGCGUGCCAAGGACAGAGUACUUGGAGCCAUUCUGUUGCCUGUGAAGCUCAUGCUGCUCCGAGAGCCCUACGCAGCAGAAUGGCUAUUUGGCUACAGAAGCACAGGAGAUCUGCAUGCACGUCAAAGCUCACACAGCAAGGCUGAGAGUCUGCCCUUGCAGCAGAGGCUAAAUCCUGCUCACCUCCAGCAGAACCCUGUGGCCUCUCCCUGCUGGAUGCAGCCGGUAGGUGAGGACUGUUCCCACUUCAGUAAAUCUUCAGCAGCUGCACUUCACUUGUGGGGAAACCUCCCACGAAGGGACUCAGCCCUGCACUGCAGAACUAGAUGGGCCCUUCAGCUGCUUCCCUCUCAGCCGCACAAACCCAAGCUGUGGUUUCCUGCCUAAGCCCAUUCUCCAUCCCAUGAUAGAUGUGUCCUGCAACAUCUGGCAGUCUGUCCCCCUGUAUUUUAAAAGGUCUGGCUUCACCGUGUUGGGGCAUCGAGGCCAGAAUGCCUGAUCAGAGCCAUGAAUAAUGAGGAGUAGACCUCAAAGACACCGACCCUGCAGUAGGACUUGAAGAGCUGUCUGCAGUGGGAAAGCUGCCAUCAGGGGACAGCCAGCAAGGGAAGGCUGAUGUCUGUUGUGGAAGACUGCACUCAGGCUUUGCUCAUGUCUCAGGUAUUAAGAUCUGAUUGUGGGUACCUCCAAAUGCAGAGCACUUUUUCCACUGAUUUUAGAGACAUGGGAACAAUCUCAUUAUUUUUGUUUUCUUUUGCGUCUUGAAUGAGUAUCUGGCAAAAAAGGGUAUUGUAAUCCCUUGGCCUGUCUCCCCAGCAGGUUAUCUGCUUGUCCUCUAAUUGCAGCCCAAGCUGCUUUACUGCAGUUAAAAUGGCUGCUCUGUGCUGAUCAAAGGGGCAGUGGAAGAGACCUGGUAGUGGAAGUCCUUGCCAGGAAAAGGAGGCUUUUAUUGCAUUCUUGGGCUGGAGAAACAUUUUUGGAUAGAUGGGAGAGUGAAAUAAGACACUGGCUGUGUGAGUCAUGGCUGAGAUGUGCUCUCUAUUCCAAAGGGACAGCUGGUGGCAGGAACAAAACAUCUCCCUAGAUACAUUGUCUGGCAGCCAUCCCCCUCCUGCUUUUUCCGGCUGUAACUACCGUUACGUGAUAAAUAAAUAAACACUCACUGACAGUGA